AGAUGUGAAGGUGACCUCGCUGUGAUAUCUCUUACCCCAGAUUGCCAGGGUUGAUUUGUCUGAUCUGGCUAGCUAACAGGGUGUUCCCUUCUUCCCUUACCACUCCUUUCUGAAACUCUGCACUCAGACAACUUUUCUGAUAAAGGAGGAACAUUCUUUGGCCAAGGAUAUAUAAGAGUGUACUAGAACCAACAAACAAAUUCUCAAAAACUCCUUUCAAGUUGAGAUAUAAAAUUAAACAUCAUAUAAAUCACAAUUUUCUCUUUUCCAUCAUGAAGACCAGCUUUG
rnacentral:snRNA from 1 species